AACGAACGCUGGCGGCAUGCCUAACACAUGCAAGUCGAACGAGACCUUCGGGUCUAGUGGCGCACGGGUGCGUAACGCGUGGGAACCUGCCCUUAGGUUCGGAAUAACUCCCCGAAAGGGGUGCUAAUACCGGCUAAUGUCUUCGGACCAAAGAUUUAUCGCCUUUGGAUGGGCCCGCGUUGGAUUAGCUAGUUGGUAGGGUAAAAGCCUACCAAGGCGACGAUCCAUAGCUGGUCUGAGAGGAUGAUCAGCCACACUGGGACUGAGACACGGCCCAGACUCCGACGGGAGGAAGCAGGGGGGAAUAUGGGACAAUGGGCGAAAGCCUGAGCCAGCAAGGCCGCGUGAGUGAUGAAGGCCUUAGGGUUGUAAAGCUCUUUUACCCGGGAUGAUAAUGACAGUACCGGGAGAAUAAGCACCGGCUAACUCCGG
rnacentral:rRNA from 1 species